GGUAGCGUGGCCGAGGUCUAAGGCGCUGGUUUAAGGCACCAGUCUCUCCGGAGGCGUGGGUUCGAAUCCCACCGCUGCCA
rnacentral:tRNA from 1 species